rnacentral:rRNA from 1 species
CAGUCGCCGCGGGAAUACGUAUGUCGCGAGCGUUAUCCGGAAUUAUUGGGCAUAGAGGGCAUCUAGGCGGCCGGAUAAGUCUGGGGUGAAAACUUGCGGCUCAACCGCAAGCCUGCCCUGGAAACUAUGCGGCUAGAGUACUGGAGAGGUGGACGGAACUGCACGAGUAGAGGUGAAAUUCGUAGAUAUGUGCAGGAAUGCCGAUGAUGAAGAUAGUUCACUGGACGGUAACUGACGCUGAAGUGCGAAAGCUAGGGGAGCAAACAGGAUUAGAGACCCCCGUAGUCCCUGUCUCUUAUAA